GCGCCGGAAAAACUUCCUGCCGUUUGCGGCGGAUCCCGGGCUGCCUUUUGGGUAGGUUUGACGCUGCGUGGAUAGGGUUGUAGGCUAGACCGGUGUCCGCCACCGCGGAUGGCGAGGGAUCUGAUCGGGCCGGCGCUGCCGCCCGGCUUCAAGGCUCGCGGGACAGCAGAGGACGAGGAGCGAGACCCCAGCCCUGUUGCAGGACCAGCUUUACCCCCUAAUUAUAAAAGCAGUAGCUCAGAGUCAUCAGACAGUGAUGAGGACAGUAGUUCAUUGUACGAAGAAGGAAAUCAAGAAUCUGAAGAAGAUGACACUGGUCCAAGUGCAAGAAAACAGAGGAGAACUCAGGAUGAUGACGAUGAUGAUGAAGGGUUUUUUGGACCAGCUCUUCCUCCCGGAUUUAAAAAGCAGGAUGAUUCUCCUCCAAGGCCUAUAAUAGGUCCUGCAUUACCACCUGGUUUUAUUAAAUCUACUCAGAAAAGUGACAAAGGCCGAGAUGAUCCAGGACAACAAGUAUCAUCAUAUUUCAACUAUGAGGAAACAGAUAGCAGUGAAGAUGAGGACAUUGUUGGACCCAUGCCUGCAAAAGGACCAGUUAACUACAGCGUCACGACAGAGUUUGAAAAAAGGGCCCAGAGAAUGAAAGAAAAACUGACCAGAGGAGAUGAUAAUUCAUCCAAACCAAUUACAAGAGAGUCAUGGAUGACUGAGCUUCCUCCAGAAAUGAAAGACUUUGGUCUCGGGCCCAGAACUUUUAAGAGACGAGCCGAUGAGAAAUCUGGGGAUCGAUCGGUCUGGACAGACACCCCAGCUGACAGGGAGAGGAGAGCUAAGGAAACACAAGAAGCAAGGAAGUCAUUCAAUAAGAAGGAUGAAGAACAUAUAUUGUCAGGAAGGGAAAAGAGAUUGGCUGAGCAGGUGUCCUCAUACAAUGAAUCAAAAAGGUCAGAAUCUCUUAUGGACAUUCAUCAUAAGAAAUUAAAGACUAAGGCUGCUGAAGAGAAAAAUAAGCCCCAAGAACGAAUACCAUUUGAUCGUGAUAAGGAUCUCAAAGUUAAUCAGUUUGAUGAAGCUCAGAAAAAAGCCCUGAUAAAGAAAUCUAGAGAACUAAACACCAGAUUUUCACACGGCAAAGGCAGUAUGUUUUUAUAAAGAGAGCACGCGCAGGGGAAGGCAGAGAGAGGAAGACAAAGGAUCUGAAGCAGGCUCCACAUUGACAGCAGGGAGCCCCGAAGUGGGGCUCGAACUCACGAACACAAGAUCAUGACCUGAGUUGAAGUUGGUUGCUCAACUGACGGAGCCACCCAGGCCUCAAGAAAAGACAGGAGAGAAGAGGGUCUAGAGAAGAACUGAAUCGAUUAACUCCUGACUACAAAUAUUGAUCGAGCUUCCCAUGGUGUGUGAGACAUUGGUCUAGAGAUACAAAAUUUUGACACAGAACUUCUGUGAACCAGCCUCUUGAAUCCCUACCGUGGACUCCGGCACGCAAAUUGCCAGGGAGGACAAACUGGCUCUCCCCCAUCUCCACUCCAGGCCCUGGCUACUGGAGCAGUUCAUCACGGCUGGUGCCAUGCUCUAGGCCGCGGCUGUGACUCACGUCAACCGCCUCCUCUCCCGUGACCCACAGAUGUCACACGAAGGGAGAUGGCCUGCGGGACCGUGCUGCAGAAAUUGCCUGCUGGCAGUUUUUAGGUGCAAGGCACAGAACCAACUCUGGCAGAGUGAAGGGGCAAAGGGACUCAUCAGAAGGCACUGGAGACCCGGCAGGAUCCCUGGGAGAGCCAGAACCAGGCGCUGAGGCUCUGCAGUGGGGAACAAGGCUCACAACAAGGCUUUAGAAACACUGCUGUUGCUAUGGACACUGGACCCCGCAGGUUCCUCCACUGACAACACUGGACACCGUAUGCAGCCAAGGUCCCUGUCAUCACCCAACACCAGAACACCUGCUUCUUCCAAGUCCCAGCUUCCUAAUCAAUGUCAAGGCUGGAAGGCAAGUAGGUGAAUGGUCUUCACCCUUGCAGGGAUAAAUGGAUGAAAAGAACUUGAGUCUCCAUCACCAAGAGCCAUCAGACCAGCCCUCGACUGACGCUAGUAUGAAGUUGUGAAGAUACCGUAGUUCUGACUCUUCCUAUGAGUGCCCAGCACAGCACCUGCUGCUAAGUGGCCACCCUGUGUUUGCUGGAAAAAUGAGUCAACUGGGGAGAUCCUGGGCCCUGGGGCCUCUAGCCAGACAGAGCCAAAGGACUCGCGGACGGUUUUUGGUCAAGGGAACCGAUUCAAGGACAAACACGCAGCACAGCUCAUGAGCGACACAAGCAGGCAAAUUCAUUAAAGCAAAAAAGCACACUCUCGAGAUAUGAGAGCCGGCGAACUAGAGAGGGAGGCGGGGAGCGGGAAGGACCGAGGGAGACCUAGCGAGCAUGCGCAGGUGCGCAGGCGCGCAAGCGGGCGGAAGAGCAUGAGCGAGCUGCACGCAAGGUGGAGAUGUUUCUAUCUUUUAUUGACAGUUGUUAACUAGCGGGCGGAAUACGUAUUACUUGGGCGGCAAGCAGCGUUUCAAGUUUUUUCCUCCUAAUUUGGUCAGAGGUUGCUUGUCGUGGCACCUGCCAUCUUAGUUCUGCCUGGGUAGAUCCGGCGUCUUGGGGAGAGCUGUCAGCACCCGCCUCUGACCUUCCCGAUAGCUGGCCAUGACUUCCUCGUGCUGGCCUCCAGAACAGAAGGCACAACACUGCACCUUCACCCUCAGCGUGGUUGGAGGACAUUAUAAAUAAAGAUCCCAUGGAGAAGGUUCAUCGUAUCCCCCAGGAAGUCAGCGUAUUGUGAAUUCCAGGCAGCCGAUUUAUGGACUAUGAGUAGGAGAUGCUCUGAAACAGACAUUGUGGCAGCAGACCUGCAGUUGAAGAAUCCUGCUCGUGAUGGAGUGGCAGAAGCACUUAAGUCAAGCACUUAAUUCAAAGUACUUAACUCAAACGUACUACUCCUUUAUUCGUUCGUCAGAUAAUAGUUAGUCGUCUAUUUCCUUGUUUGUGUUCCUAGAGGGCAGGGUUGUGCUUGCCUUGUGAACCAUUGCAUCCCCAGCACUCAGCAUGAUGCUGCGUAACAUAUUACCUGGAAUAUAAUAGCUUAAAAUAAUGCACAUUUAUUAUCUCACAGUUUCCAUGGAUCAGGACUCUUGGCGUGGCAUAGCUGGCUCCUCUGCCGAGGGUUUCACAAAGCUGCAACCACAGUGGCACUGCCAUGAGAUGGGGUCUCAUUUGAGGCUCCAGGUUCUCUUCGGACCUUCUAUGGUUGUUGGCAGAAUUCAUUUCCUUGCAGUUCUAGAACUCCUAAUGACCUGCUUCCAAGCCAGCAAGAGACUGUUGCUGACACUUUCAGGGCUUUCAUCUGAUUCAGAUCCACCCAGGAUAAUUUCCUUUUUGCUUAACUCACAAUCAACGGAUUUGCAAAAUCCUUUCAACUUUGCCACAAUACACAACUUCAGCACAGGAGUAACAUUCAUCAUAGUCACAGAUCCUGCCCACCUUCAAAGGGAAGGAUUACACAAGGGUAUGGGUCAUUGGAGGUUAUCUUAGAAUUUUGCCCAAAUCUUGCACUCCAAAAUAUUGGUUGAGUGAGUGUGUGAAAGAAGGAAGGCAGGCAGGCAGGCAGGCAGGCAUCCUGUUUGUCUUCACAAUAACUCUGGGUGUAGGUAGUAUCACCUUUACCUUAUGGAGAAAGACAUUCAAUUCAGAGGCAGCAAAUGAUUUGCCUUCGUUCAAAGACGUGAAAUUGCAGGAUGAGGCUCCAGACUGAAGCCUGUCUGAGUCCUUACCCUUUACGCAGCAAAACACUCUCUGAAACCUCAGUCCUGCCACCCUGUCUCUGGCCAGAGCCCUGACACCAGCAGGGCCAACCUCUCUGCUUCUACUCACCUGGCUAGAGCAGGCCAUGAGGUGGAGACAGAGGCCCACGGGGCCAGGACACUUCCCGUCCUUGCCAUAGAAGGAUUCCCUGGGCAUCCGUCAGCCCAACAGACUCCAGAGGCCAGUGUGGGCCACGCCAGGGGUUCUGUGCACUGAGGGAGAGCAAAGAUCAGUUUACUCCUACCCAGAGGUUUUGGCCCCAGUCCAUGCCCAGACCUUGGCACGUGUAGGUUCUUUUUGUUCCAGCAUUCUCCAGGGGUGGAGAAUGGGAAGCUGGUGAGGGAUGUUUUCUGCACUGCCUCCUCCCUCUCAGAGGCCCAGUAAGCUGUUCCCCUUGCUCUAGUGGGAACGGAGUGUGAACAGUGAUGUCCAGACCACAGAGGACAAGAAUCCGGGGAAUCCCUGGGAGAAGCUAUGGGGUUAGCUCAGACAGCAAUGAUAUACAGUGUUUUAUACAAGUGAAGAAUUUGUGCAGUGCGUGGCUGGCUCAGUUAAAAGAACAUGCGACCCUUGACCUUGGGGUUGUGAACUUGAGCCCCCUGCUGGGUGUAGAGAUUAAACAAACGUAAAACUUGUUAGAAAACAGCAACAUAUUAGGCUUCUCUUUUCAUCUGCUUCCCAUUCACUCCUUUGCCCUUUCCCUCUGACUGUGCACCAGAUAUUCAAUACCUUCUCUGUGUCAGGGCCACCGUGGCUUACUUUCUUCCCUGCCUCUUAAUUUUUCCUAGUCUACUUGUGAUCUUUAAUAAGCAGUACCCUUUCAUCUGUCUUUGUGUCGCCAGACUUCACAUUUUUACCACAUGGAAACACCGUAUUAUAAAGUCUCUCCACUAUAGUAAAAUCUGCAUAAUGCAUAGGCAAUCAUAUCCCGCCUUGUGGAACCUCACAGCACGCCAGGCAUAAAUCCAAGGUGGAAGAUGUUUGUUUGUAUAUUUUCAUAAUCCACUUUAGGCUUUAAUUACAAUGAGACAAUAAAAGAAAGAUAGGAAGGCAUUGAUCUUGUGGCUGGCACCUUUGUUACUCACUUCAUGUUGACAAUUCCCAUUGAAAUUCAAGCAUUCCUCCUCCUUAGCCACUGUGCCUCAGUCUACGGAGAGCAUUCAAAACAAAUUAUCUGCAACCUUAUGAAUAUCCAGCUCAUUCUGUCCCACUUCCUUCUCCUGAGACACAAAACAAAAUAAACCUUUAGGAUAUUUAUGUGCUCAGAGGCAAAUUUAUAAUUUACUCAAAGGUGAACAACUUUUGCAAGCAGCUGCUACUCAUGAGUAAACAUGAAAUCAAAUUUCAGAGAGGAAAUUUUUACAUUCCACACAAAUAAACCUCCUAACUGCUACUUAACGUAAAGCCAGACAGAAUGGUAAAGGGGCUUCCCGAACAGGGCUGGAUAGUCCAAAAGAAGCUUUUAUUGAUGAAAUACAAACAUUUGGAGCCAGAGAGCCUGUUUGUCCUAUCCACUAAACCUAUUUCCAACCACCGCUCCAUCCUACUGAUUUCCUUCCACCAU